rnacentral:lncRNA from 1 species
CCAAUGCCACUCCAUCCACGCUCGCUCCGUUUUCCCCUGCCAGGACACUCCAGCCGCGCGAAUUUGUUACUCCGCUAAGCUCAACAUUCCCCGCCACCUUUCCGCCGUGAUGUCGGCCAGACAUUCUGAUCGCCGAGCACCUGUUAGUGGGGAUGUUAAUGAUUUGGUCACUGGAGAUGUUGGGUUUGACUUCCGGUCGUUGUGGUGUGCCGAAGGGAGGGUGGUGGAGGAGUUUGUCAUGGAGCAGCCGAUACCACCGUAUUUGUUUGCGUUUGCGAUUGGGGACUUGAGUUUCAGGGAGGUAGGUCCCAGAACUAAGGUUUACUCAGAGGCAGUAGCCGAAGUGUUGGAUGCGGCUGCUAGGGAGUUUGCCGGGACCGAGGAUAUGAUAAGACAAGGAGAAAAGUUGUUUGGACCAUAUGAGUGGGAGCGGUUUGAUUUGAUGGUUUUGCCACCUAGUUUUCCUUAUGGGGGAAUGGAGAAUCCCCGGAUGGUGUUCUUGACCCCAACAGUGAUCAAGGGGGACGCUAGUGGGGCGCAGGUUGUGGCACAUGAGUUGGCUCAUAGCUGGACUGGUAACCUGAUUACUAACAAGAAUAAUGACCACUUUUGGUUGAAUGAGGUAUGUACUUUGUUGGAUUAAUCAUUAAUGUCUUUUUAUGCUUUUUUGUUGUGGCACAUGAGCUUGCUCAUGAUUUUAUCCCCUUUGCUUUAUCUGUAUUUUAUUGGUUUUAGCCUAUUUCUUGUUUCAUGUUAGAUAGGGGAAUGAGGAAUAGUUAAAGAAAUAUGAUUGAAGGAACACGUAAUUGGUUGAACGUGAGUGUAAAAAUGUUUGUUCUGCAUGCAGUGAGUUUCCAAAUGUUAACAUUUUUGUUUUGUUUUAUUUUAUUGAAGUUUGAAAAUAUUGCAGUUCGUUAUCUCUCUGGAAUUUUCAAUUCAUAAAUUUAUCAUGCUGUUUUCCUCUGGCUUAGCAUGACUGCAUUUACAGUGUGAAAGAAUAGCCUUUAUAAAUGAAGGGGAAGCGGGAACAGAAAUUUCUGGUUACUGUUAUUUGGUAUAUGUAUUUCUGCCUCAUUGACAAGGAUAUACUUUUAAGUUGUUAUGUCUGUCUAUUUUUUAUGUAGUUGAUCAUAUUUGUGGAAGAAUGCCUACUGAAUUUUCAAAAUCUUUGUAUAUAUGAAGUGAGUUUCCUCGUUUUUGGUACUUCAAAGCAUUUUUGUUUCUUAUUAUUCUGGCAUUUGUGCUUCUAGGGUUUUACGACAUAUGCAGAGAGGAGAAUAGUUGAGGUUGUUCAAGGAGAAGACAGAGCUGUAAUGAAUAUUGGAAUUGGAUGGAGAGGUUUAAAUGAGGAAAUAGAGAGAUUCAAGGACAACAUGGAGUUCACCAAGCUCAAAACAAAUCAGGAAAAUAUUGAUCCUGAUGAUGUGUAUUCUCAAGUUCCAUAUGAGAAGGGUUUCCAAUUUUUGUGGCGCAUAGAACGCCAGGUAUGUUGAGUUCCCUGUUGCUCUCAGAUGUCUAUGAAGGAUCUAGUAUAUUUUCCACAUUCAUAGGAGUGCGUCUAUGUUUCUGAUUUAUGAAUAUGAUAUAUUCUGGGCAUUUCUAAUAAUAUCAAGUGUCUCUCAAGUUGUGUUUAACCUAUUUAAUGCUUAGAUUGGAAGACCUGCAUUUGAUGAAUUCCUCAAGAAAUAUAUUGCCACCUUCAAGUUCAAAUCAAUUGAUACAGAGAUGUUUCUUGAUUUCUUGAAAGCAAAUGUCCCUGGAAUAGAGAAAGAUAUUGACCUUAAAUUAUGGACGGAGGGUACUGGCAUUCCUCCAGAUGCAUAUGAACCAGUUUCCAACUUAUACACAAAGAUUGUAUCACUAGCGAAUGAAUUUAAGCUUGGAAGGAUGCCCAGGGAGGAUGAAGUUGCUGAUUGGCAUGGGCAAGAGUGGGAGCUCUACCUAGAAAACUUGCCCAAACCUGUUGAAGCUUCUCAGGUAGUGAUAAGUGUCUUUUAUGAUUUUGCCCCUUGAUUUGGCUUAAUCAUGACGCUAUAGAUCAUACUUUUUGAAUAUUUAUUUCCUGAUUUCUUGAGCUUCCUUAUCUGCACUUGUUCCCUUGGAACUAUUUCUAAUUCAUUGUAUGGUCUGUUUCACUAAAUGUGUGUGCACGGGCAGUCAUCAUACACCUGGAGAAUUAUCUCUCUCUUUCUUUUAUUUAUUUAUACUUUUAUUUAUUUUGUUUGUUUGCUGUCAACUGUGCUUUCUUUUUAGUCUCUAGGAUGUUAAAUUAUAAGUUGGCCACUUUAAAAGUAUAUUUGUGAAGUAGGCUUUGACCUGAAAAAGUGGAUAUGUAGUUGAGAUGCUUUGUAGAAGUUUGGCAAUAACUUGAUGAGCUCCUCUUCUUAUUAUUGUUUCUUGAUUUUGUAUUUGACCAACUCUGAUGGACUUUAUUUAUUAGGUGGGCUGAUAAUUAACUUGAUAUCGGUAAUGGAAUUCCAACUUUUGUGAACAAAAUUUUGACUCUUUUUUUAUUUAGUAAAGAUUUUACUUUCACUUUACCAGUUAGUGCUGUUUUACGUUAGGGAACUUGGAAAAUGGUAAUGACUCUUGGACACUUCAGAUGUUCUUGUGCGUAUAUUUGGUACACAUAAGCCCAAGAAACACAUGCUUACAGACCAGACUCAGGCAGUCAUUUCUUCUCCUAUCAGCAAUGGUAUCAUCUGCUUGCUGAUAGAUAAUUUGGCCCUCUGUAUUAUUGCUGCUGAAUCUCUCCUUGUCGAGCAUAUAUGUGAAUAUAUUAUAUUCCCAUGAUGUGCUGAAAGUUUAAGUUUUUUUUAUUUUCCCUCCUGCCUAAACAAGGCAGGCAGCUAUCAUGUAGGUAAGAUAAGAGUUGUAGUUUUUAUACAUCUGGAUCUUCUUGAUGCAGAUCUUAGCCUUGGAUGCACGUUACAGGCUGUCAGAAUCAAAGGAUUAUGAGGUGAAGGUUGCAUUUCUCCAACUGGCCAUUUCAUCUAGCUGCAGAGAUUACUACAGUGAGGUAGAGAAAACUUUAAAGGCAGUUGGGAGGAUGAAGUACCUUCGUCCGCUCUACAGGGCACUUGUUCAAGGCACUGGAAAAGAAGAAGAGAAGGUUUUUGCUAAAAGGGUUUUUGCAGAAGCUCGUGAAUGUUAUCAUCCUAUAGCUCAAGGGGUUGUUGAGUCCAUCUUUGCCAAGCACAUGUAGGAUGGACCAUAACAAUAUGGUACCUUAAGUUCUUAACCUAAUUUCCUCUCGUAAAAACUUGUUUUGAGUUCUUAGAGAUCUAGGAGAUGAUAUUAACUUGUGAUCUUGUUAAUACAUGCAUAAUGAAGCAUGCCUUGCUCUGCCAUAGCUUAUGUGGCAGUACUAAUCGAUCUGCUUAUCAAUACUGGAAGUGCAAGGCAGUGUAAUUAUUUUGGAAUGUUGAAUGAAUCAUCAAAAUUUUCUUAGGAAAAAAAUGUUUUUUUUCCCUAGUAUCUUUAAAAAAUUAUAUUGAAGUGGAUGUCCUCCGCAAUAAAUUUUUUAGUCAAAUUAUCCCUUAACCCAUUCACAAUAAACCGGUGCUUCAUGGGCUUUUCUGAAAUUUUAAUUUUUAAAUGUGAGAAGUUUAAAUGACACAUUUAGCCCUUCAGAUUUUUUUAAGAAAAAUUAAAAGUUAGUUUUUAUUGAUUUAAUUAGAUAAAAAUUUAAUAAAUUAAAAUUAUAUUUUUAUUAAAAUCUAGAAUUAAUUUAUUAUAUAAUUAUAUUAAAUAUUUGUUAAUUUUAGCCUUGGCCAAGGUCUAAUUUGAUUUGAUUUAUGGAUCAAAUUGGAAUUUGUUCAAUUUAUGAUGGUUUGAAAAUGGUUUUGAUUUUUUGAUGGUUCAGGUUUGGGUUUGAUUUUGAUCUUGAUUUAUAAUGAUUCUGAUUUCUGUGGUUUCGAUUUUAAUUAAAUCUAAAUUUUAAGCGGUCAAUUGAAUUUUGAUUUUAAAAAAUUUAAAAAAACUGUAAAUCAAAAUUUAAAUAGACUGUGAAGAAAUAAAUAUAAAAAAUAAAAAGAGAAAAUUAUUAGUUAAUCUUUAUGAUAUAAGAAAAUUUAGUAGUUGAUCUUUUAAUUUUAAAAUUGUAUUAAAAUAUUAUAAAAAAUUUAUUAAUUAAUUAUUUUAUUAAUUAAUUAUUUUAUUAAUUUUAACCUUUAAUUAUUUAAUUAUUUAAUUUUUAUAAUUUUAAAAAAUUUAUUAGUUAUUUUUUUAUAUUUUUAAAAAAUCUAUUAAUUGGUGUCUUUGCAUUAGGGGCAUUUAAAAUAUAUAUUUUUUUAAUACUUAAACAGGUAAAAUCAAAGGAGAGAAUAGUAGACUUUUUAAAAUAUUAGAAAUAUUUUAAUACUUUUUAAAAUUAAAAAAUUAACCAGUGAAUUUUUCUAUAUUAUAAAAAUUAAAUAAUAAUUUUUAAAAAGUAUUUUUUUAAAAAACAUAAUGUUAAAUAUAAAAUAUGAAAUAAUAUUAUACUUAAAUGGAAAUAAUAUUUUUUUACAAGUAAAUAAAAUUUAAACUUAAUUAUUUGGUAAUUUAACUUGUUAUGUAUUAAUUUUAAGUGAUAGAAUUUUAUAAAGUGAUUUGUUUAGAAAUUCAAAAUCGAAUUUUAAUCAAAUUGGACUGCUGGUUUUGAACUAGUCAGUUUCAAUUCGAUUCCAGUUUAAUUUCGAUUCUAAUUUAGAGAAGGGUUUUGUAAUCAGCCUUUUAGUUUAAGGUUUUAGUCCAGUUCAGAAAUUAAAACCGAUUGACUAGAUCAAUAAUGCAACUCACUAAGGCAGCCAUGAAGAUGGUGACUUGAAGAUGCCAAUGGGGCCAAUUAUAACGGCAUGCUCCAAUAAACUCAAGUCACAACUUCAUAUUUAUAUACAAGCUUGAAUUUCACAAAAACUUCAAAAAGACAUAUUGAUCAACCUUGAGGAAGAGUUUAAGGAGAUGCCAAGAUGUUUAUGUUCAUUGGAGCUUUCAAGUCAAGAGAGCUAGUACUUAAUCAAAUUUAGAAGCACAAGUUCAACUCAAGGGGGUUUGGACUUAAUUAUCUAUAAUAGGCGUGUAGACCUCUUUUAAUUAUGUUUGGACUUUAUUAUGGACUGAUAUGUAUUAAGUAUGCAUGUAACUCAUUCAUUUAUCAUGUGCUUAAUAGCCAAGCCUGUGGUUCUCAAUCCGAUUCCAGUUCAAUUUCGAUUUUGGUUUAGAGAAGGGUUUCGUAAUCGACCCUUUAGUUUAAAGUUUUAGUCCAGUUCAAAAAUUAGAACCGAUUGACUAAACCAAUGAUGCAACUCACUAAGGCAGCCAUGAAGAUGGUGACUUAAAGAUACCAAUGGGGCCAAUUACAAGGGCAUGCUCCAACAAGCUGGAGAAGCAAGGAUAUAAGGGAGACCACAUAAGUUUUUCGGUCUUCGGAGGAAGGAUUGGCCGAGGUAAGUAUAAGAAAUAUACCCCGUUAACAACUGACGAAUGUAUAUUCUAAUGUGGAUUAGAAAAAACAAUAAGAAGAUCAUGUGGCCUCUCAAAUUCAACCAUAAGAAAGCCGAAAAAUGAGACAGGACCAGGUAUUGUCAAUUUCAUGAAGAUCACAGACAUGUAACGAAAGAGUGGCGGCAAUUGAAAAAUAAUAUCGAAGGUUAGUAGGGAACAACACACUUCGGAAGUUUACCAGAAAGAGUAGAAAAGGUAAGAGGCCCGAGCUUAAGAGAAUAAUUCCAGAAACCACCCCUGAUAGUGAACUUGUGAGGGAUUAUUCAUGUGAUUGCAGGAGGAUCGAGUGUUAAUAGGGGUGACAAUAAGGAGAAUGUCAUGGAUGUCCAGCUCCUGAGUCAAACUUCGAGUUUUGAAAUCAGCUAAGCCAGACAACCGAGUCUUUUAUUUUAUCCUCAGAAAAAUAUUUGUGAUUUUUGAAAAUGUUAUAAAACUAGGAUGCAUUCUUCAAGCUUCUCUUUUUAUAGGAAAAUCAGAAUCGUUGAUUGGAUGAAAGCAUGGAGAUAAGAACAAAGGCCAUGAGACAAUCGCCAGGCCAUCCGAGUCCUGCAUAUAAUCCGGGUGUUGGUCCAAGGAAACAAAUUCAUAAAAGGCCACAAAGCCAUUUGGACAUGUGUCCUGCAUACAAUCUGAACAUAGGUCCAGCAUAUCAUUUGGGCGUUGGUCCAUAAAAACAAAUUUAUAAAAGGCAGCAAGGCCAUAUGGGCAUGGGUCCUGCAUACAAUCCGGGCAUAACUGUAACGACCCGGAAACCGGACCGCUACCGGCGCUAGGAUCCAGAUCGGCGUAAGGCCUCCGGGACUCGUAGCAAGCCUAUCCUGAACUCUGUGUACCUGAUAAAUCCCAUACAUGAUCAAACAUAAACAUAAAAACUGAAAAACUUUCCUUUCCCUUACCAAGCUUGACCUGCAUGCACUAUGUCUAACAUAGAAUCCACUCUCAUAGGGUCAGCAUAUCACAAGUCAGCCUUGGGUCAACACAUUUCUCAUCAAGAAACAUAAAACAUGAUCCAUAUACAAGGGGAUUAUCCAUACACCAGGGCAAAGCACAACUCUAUCCAUAAACACAUAACGUACAAUCUAUUACGUAACUAUGCAUCAUUUUACAUUACAUCACUUUGCAUUUACAUCAUGUCCACUACUAUCUAUUACAUACACUUCAUACUCAUAACUCUGCAGACUCUGACUCCCCAUAGCUAUCUCUGGCCCUGCAAAACUAGGGUUAGGGCAGAGGGGUGAGCUAAAAAGCCCAGUGAGUAGAACCAAUGAAAACCAUUCAUUAGUUACAUGCUUUCAUGAAAUGCGUCACAGCACAAACAUUUCACAUCUCGGAUUGGACAUGACCUCAAAACUCCCUCUGUCAGCGCCCAGCCCCCCCCAGGGAGCUCACAAAGGUCUUUCCUUACUUAACAGAUCGUGGGCUAUUGAGGUUGCCUUGGUCCAUCCACAUCAUCAAUAAAUAAUGCAAUGCAUCAUAUUCGUGACUACUAAUGCAAUCAACCUAUUGCAUACUCAUGGUGCAUGAAACAUGCUAAAAGCAUUUAAUUGCUCAAUUGAAAACAUUCAGUUUAGUUCUACUCACCUCUGGCAGACGCUGGACUGACUCUGCAACAGCUAACACUGAUGGCCUCCUCGGUCCCUCGGGUCCGAUCCUACACAGGUGGACUCGAAUGAGGUGCCAAACACAUUCUAAACAACUCAUAAACAACUCCCCAAAAACCCCCUAAAACAUCCUCAAGCAUGCAUGGAAAACAAGCAAAGAAAAGCUGGAUAGGGCAUCUUCGACAGCACCUUCGGCGGCCGAACCCCUUCUCCAGAGAUGAAACUCGGGCACUUUCGGCGGCACCUUCGGCGGCCGAAAGUCCCUUCUAGAUCCGAAAGUCUAAACUUUCGGGGGCAAGGUUCGGGGGCUGAAAGACCUUCCAGCGCCGAAAGUCAUCCACCUUCGGCGGCAUGUUCGGCGGCCGAACCUUCCCUCCAGAGACGAAAGUCCCAACUUUCGGGGGCAAGGUUAGGCGGCCAAAAGAGCCUUCCUAAGGGGUUCGGCGGCCGAACCUUGCUUCGGCAGCCGAACCUGAGUUUCAUCCAGAACUCAGCUUCAUGCACAAACAAGCCUCCGAAACCUCCCAAACCUUCCAAACACCCAAAACAUGCAAACCACACUUCCACAACCUGCAUAUACUCAAGUAUAGGCACAAAGGGGUCCAAAACGAACUUACAACCCCAACAAACAACACAUCUAACACAUAAGCACACUUAAAAACAUUUUGAAACCUCUUUUUAACCCUUCUAGAAGGCUCCGACAUCCUCGAAUUCCAUAUUCCAACGGAAAUUCCGCCAGAAAGUCAAAAUUCCGAUGCCGGCGUCUAGCCGGGUAUUACAGUCUACCCUCCUUACAAAAACAUUCAUCCCCGAAUGUUCAAACAAACAACAAACAUGCAAGCAAGCAAGCGAAGCCUAAAACCUCUCUCCAAAGAGAGACGCAGGUACUGCUGGAGUAAACACUCUCGGGUCUUCUAGGCACACUUCCAUACUGUGGUAAUUCUAGAGAACUAUCACCACCAGUGUAAUACCCGGCUAGAGUCCGGCAUCGAAAGUCUACUUUCUGGUGGCAUCUAGGAUGUCGGAACGCUCUAGAGGGUAAUAGAUAUGUUUUCUAUUGUGUUUUAGUAAGUUUGAAUGUAUUAACGUGUAAAGGAAAUGAGUUUUUUUGAAAUAAAAGAGCCAAGGAAGAAAUGCAAGGUUCGGCCGCCGAAGGUGAAAGUUCGGCCGAAGAACAUGCAUGGCUUUUGGAUUCACGUUAGGCCACCGAAGGUGGUCUGGCCAGCCACCUAUAAAAGGCCCUAUGUCGGUGAAAUGGAUAAGUUUGUUCCAUUUUCACAGACCUAGAUGAGACCAUGCUCUUCCUUGGGUGAUCUCCAGGACUUGUACAAAUCUUUCAAAGUUUUGAUGAGUUUGUAUGUUAUUUUGAAGGGUUUGAGCUAAAAACCAAGAUUUUGAAGCGUGGAGACUUUGAGAGAAAAUUACUCCAUAUCUCCACAUUAGGAUCACAUAUCCUCUAGAUCUUCAAGAGGUAAGUGUAGAUCCGUAGCUUUUUUGAUGUUUUAUGAAGGUUUUAUGAAGGUUUUUGGGUAGAGAUGCAUGAUUAGGGUAAGUUGAGUUUUUGGUUGAUUUAUGGUCAAAGCUUGCAUAUGUGUUUGGUUGUGAUAUUUGUUGGGGUUUUGAGGUAGUUUUGCACCCCUUUGUGCAUAUGUUUGAGUAUUUUGUGUGUUCUAGAGUUGAGGUUUGCAUGUUUGAGAAGUUUGGAGGAAGAUUGCAUGAAGUUGAGCAGGGUUCUGCCUUACUGGGGAACCCAGUUUCGGCCGCCGAAAGAAGGUUCGGCCGCCGAACAUGCUAUGGAGGUGGUUUCGGCUGCCUAAGCUUGCCAAGCUUGCCCCCAAAAGUUUGGACUUUCGGCUCUGGAGGGGAGUUUCGGCCGCCGAAGGUUUGAGACUUUCGGCUCUGGAGUGCCUUUCAGCCUCCGAACCUUGCCCCCGAAGUUGGGUUCGGCUGCCGAAAGUGAAGUUCGACCGCCGAAGGUUCAUGAGUUUCGGCUCUGGAGAGGACUUUCGGCCGCCGAACCUGCCGCCGAAAGGGUCUUGUCCAGCCUUCUUUUGCAUGCUUUAUGUGAUUAUUUUAGGAUGUUUUAGGGGGUGUGUAACGCCCCGGAAAUCCGGACCGCUACCGGUGCUAGGAUCCGGGUCGACUUAAGGCCGCCGGGACCCGUAGCAAGCCUGACAUAACCUGUAAACCUGUAUAAUCCCAUACAUGAUCAACAACACGCAUAAAAAAAUUUAAAACUGUUCUUCAUAUAUACUGUCAUCAACUAACUCAACCUGUGCAUAUUCUGAACAUAUACAUAACAUAGUCCCUCUGUGGGAUCUCAUCAAGCCUUAAAGGCAAAACAUCCUGUGUUGAGUUAGUUUACAUAAACCUCAUAAUAUAAGAUCAUGUAUAUACAAAAGGGAUUAACAAUAUACUAUGGUCAAGCACAACUCUAUCCUCAAUAACCUCAUUACAUACAUACUGUAAUCUUUUACAUAUCAUCAUAAUACAAAUGUCAUGUCCACAAACUAACUAUUACAUACAUAUGACUUUUUCUCUUCUUGUCUUCUCUAUCUAUCCCGUACCUGCAAACCUGGGGGUUAGGGGAGAGGGGUGAGCUAGAUGCCCAGUGAGUAGAACUAUAAAAAGAAUAUUUAAAACAUGCUAUCAUGAAAUGCGCCACUGCACAAACAAAUCGCACCACGGAUGGACUGAUUCAAAAAUCCCUCAACUCCAUGCCCGGCCCUAUUAUGGGCACCACAGGACUUCGUAUUGCCCGGCCCUAUUAUGGGCACCACAGGACUUCGUACUCGGAGUUAUGGCCCGGCCCUAUUAUGGGCACCACAGGACUUCGUAUUGCCCGGCCCUAUUAUGGGCACCACAGGACUUCGUAUACAGAAGGCUAAUGAAUCAUCCUAAUGUCCAUCCACUAUCAUCUAUCACAACAAUACAAUGCGGCAUAGUCGUGAAUUCUAAUGCAAACAACCUAUAAUAUGAUCAUGAUGCAUGAAGCAUGAUAAAAGCAUUUCAUUUCUUAAUUUAAAAAGGUUAAGUUUAGUUCCACUCACCUCUGGCUGACUCUGACAAACUCUGAAGCAGCUGGCUCACUGCUGGGGUCCUUGGUUCCUCGGGUCCGAACCUACACAGGUGGACUCCAAUGAGGGACCAAACAUACAAAACAUAACUCUAAUACAUUCCCCAAAAACCCCCUAAAACAUCCUGAAAAUAUCACAUAGAGAUAUGCAUGGAGUGGCUGAACAGGGCACUUUCGGCGGCACCUUCGGCGGCCGAAAGUCCUGGACAGAGACGAAACUCAGGUAGGUUCGGCGGCACCUUCGGCGGCCGAAAGUCCUGGACAGAGACGAAAGUCUCUUUUCGGGGGCAACUUCGGCAGCCGAAAGGUCUGCCUCCCCAGCCAUGUUCGGCGGCCGAACGUGCCUUCGGCUGCCGAACCUGGUUUCUGCCAAAGGGCAGAAACUUGGCUCCUUUGUGCAUUUUCACCUCCAAACUCACCAAUCAUGCAUAUACCUCAACCAAAUCAUGCAUACAAGUUCCUAGGGGCCUCAAAACAUCAAAUACCCCAACUACAACACUACAAGCAUACUCAAACAUGCCACAUUGUUCAAGAAUCACAUAAAACCUAACAUUUGCUUAAAAACUCAUACAACCCUAUACAUGCCAUUCUACCCCAUAAAAUCACUUAAAACUUACUUAAAACACAUAAGGAGCUUAAGAUCGGCCCUUACCUCUUGAAGAUCGAGAGGGAGACGACCUAAACUUGGAGAUCCACGAAAAUGAGCUCCUGAGUUCCCAAAGCUCCAAAACUUGGUUUAAAUGCUCAAAACUUUCAAUGCAAACUUAAAACUCAAGAAAAAUGGAAGAGAUUUGGAAGAAGAACACAAGAGUUGCAAAGGGAAGGUCGGAAGCUUGCUGUGGCCGAAAAUGGGAGAAAGCUCGCCCAUUUCGGCUAAGUGCCCCUUUUAUAGGUGGCUGGCCAGGCCACGUUCGGGGGCCGAAUGUGCCUCCGCAUCCAUGCAAUGUUCGGCGGCCGAACUUGAAUUUCGGCGGCCGAACCUGGACUGCCCUCACUCAUGCUUUCGGGGGCCUAACGUGCCUCCAAAACGCAUGCAUGUUCGGCGGCCGAACUUGACUUUCGGCGGCCGAACCUGGGUUUUCCUCCAAAGACUUUUCAUGCAAAAACUCCUUAAAUUUUCAUACUUAAAACCAUUAAAAACAUGAAAACAUUUUAUGAAACAUGAUUCUACCCUUCUAGGGGUCUCCGACAUCCGAGAUUCCACCGGACGGUAGGAAUUCCGAUACCGGAGUCUAGCCGGGUAUUACAGGGUGUUUGGGGAGUUGUAUAGAGAUGGUCUUGAGGUAGUUUGGUCCCUCAUUUGAGUCCACCUGUGUAGGAACGAACCAGAGGAACCGAAGAAAGCAGCAGUGAGCACUGCUUCAGAGUUUUCAGAGUCAGUACAGAGUUAGCCAGAGGUGAGUGGAACUAAACUUAAUCUUUUAAUAUGAGAACUUAAAUGCUUUUAGCAUGUUUCAUGCACCAUGAUUAUGCAAUAGGUUGAGUGCAUUAGACAUCACAAAUAUGUUGCAUUGCAUUCGAUGUUGUUGAUAUGGGUGAUAGUGGAUGAUCCAGUAGUCCCUGAGUAAGACGAGGACCCCAUUCUACGGCCUGGCACGGUAGAUGAGGAAGACGAGGACCCCAUUCUAUGGCCUAGCACGAGUUUAGGAUGUCGGGACUAUUUGGGGACAUGUUCACCCGAGAUGAUGUGAAUUGUCUGUGAUGUGAUGCAUUUCAUGAGAGCAUGUUGAUAACAUGUUUUGUUGUUCUACUCACUGGGCUAUAGUAGCUCACCCCACUCCCUUAACCCCAGUCUUGCAGGAUCAGAGUGCAGGGGAAGUCAGAAGAGUCCAGAAAAAGUAAAGAGUUUUGUAAUAGUAUAGUAUGGACAUGUAAUAUGUAAAGAGAUGUACUGGUAUUGUGCUAGACCUAGAUGUGUUGUAAAUCCUUUUUGUAUACAUGAUCUGUUUAUUGUAUGUAAAUGUUUUUAUGAGUAUGGAAACCAGACUUACCAUAGUAUGAGUUUAACCCGUCUAGACCAAGCUCUAGUAAGGGGUUCUGUAAGUACAGAGAUAGUGCAUGCACAGGUAGAGCCGUGGUUCAGAGCAGAGUUUUAUGCUUUUACAGACAAUGUAUGAUCAUGUAUGGGAUUUUAUAGGUACACAAACAGUAUAGCAGGCUUGCUACGGGUCCCGGCGACCUUAAGUCGACCUGGAUCCUAGCGCCGGUAGCGGUCCGGUUUUCGGGUCGUUACAGAUUGGUAUCAGAGCCCUAGGUUCAUAUGGUCGGACCUAUAGAGAGAGUGUCGGGCUCAUAAAGGGUAGGUUAAGCACAAUAGGAAAUCAUGUCCACUAGGAUAGGAUGUUGAGUCCUGUCUAUAUGCUGAUGUGAAAUGCCAUGAGUUAUGCAUGUGCAUUGUUGUUAUGUGCUGUGUAGUUGCUGAUGUAUGCUGUUAUGUGUUGUUUUCCAGUAAGCUAAGAUGAGAGGAACUCGUCGAUCUGCACGAUUGACUGGAUUCCCACCAGUGAAUGAGGGUUCAGCUGCUCAUCCUCCUGCGUUGCCAAGGGCGAGAUCUCAGAGAUCAAGCAGGGAGGGUACGUCAAGGGACCCUAGAAGGUCUUUUGAUGAGAGCAGAAGAGGAACAGUUAGAGGAGGAAGGUCAGAGGAAGUGAGGGAGGCGAUGGAUGUGGAUCAGCCAAGAGAGGAAAGCAUGGGUAUGGAUCGGUCGGAAGAGGGUAUGGGUGAGUCUCAGGAAGGCACUCAGGCUUCGGGGUUUGGUUAUCCACCCCAGUAUCCACCCUUUCCACAGGGCCCGGGGUAUCCGAUGGAGGGUACGUCGGAUUACUCUGGUUUUACCCCAUAUCCUACCUACAUGCCUUACAUGCCUUAUCCUCCUUUUUACCCACCAUAUCCCAUGUAUCCACCCACACCUUUCCACCCCAGUUCAGCAUAUCCAGAUCCAAGUUCAGCACCUCCUCCACCACCAGAACCAGAACUAGUAGCCCCUGUUGUCCGAGUACCUCAACCUAGCUCAGCUGAGGGAAGCAAAGUGAAAAUGACAGAGUAUCUGAAGUUGGAUGCUCCCAAGUUCAACACGGGAGAUGAUCCAUUUGAGUACCUCAGAACGGUUAAGAUGAUAACCGAUGAGUUAGGAGCUGAUGAUAGCAGAGCCAUUGAGAUGGCAGGGUUCACACUCAAAUGUAAGAAAGCACGAGAGUGGUUCAAGACUUAUGUGGCCCCUAGGUUGGACAGCAUGUCAUGGGGAGAGUUCGCCAAUGAGUUUGCAGGGUGGGCUUUUCCUGACAGUUCCAGAGAGUUGAAAGUGAUAGAAUUUGAGCAGUUGAGGCAGACCGAGGAGAUGAGUGUAGAUGAAUACACAGACAAGUUCCUGGAUUUGCUUCAGUAUGUGGGUCAAGCUUAUGACACUGACCAGAAGAAGGCAAGGAGAUAUACUAUGAGAUUGCAUCCCCGGUAUUCCUCCUUGAUUCUUCCAGCAGAGAAAGAGAGUUUCCACUCUAUUGUGGAUGCAGCCAGGAAAAUGGAGGCGAGUGCCAUCAUUCAAGGGACAGUAAAACAGCAAGUGGCACAGCCUUUGGGUUCUAAGACCCCCAGUGCAGCAGUUUCAGGCAGCAAGAAAUGGGGAAAGGCAAAAGGUCAAAAGAACAAGUUCUGGAGCAAGAUCAAGUCUGGUCUGGGAAUGGGUAGUGGCUCAAGCUCUGGCGCAAGCAGUCUAGUAUGUGGAAGAUGUGGGAGACCGCAUCAAGGAGUUUGUCGGUUGAGAUCUACAGCCUGUUAUAAGUGUGGGCAGGAGGGACAUUUUUCACGGGAAUGUCCUCAGGUGACCUUUAUGGCACCAUCCCAGCAGAUGAGCUCAAACAGUGUACCACAGCCAGCAGCUCCAGCCAUGCCUCAGAAUAGUGGCAGAGGUAGAGGGAGAGGGUCAGCCUCUUCUUCAGCAGUAGGUUCCCGAGGUGGAGGUCCUGUAGCCCCAGCACGGAUCUUCACUGUGACUCAGGAGGAGGCAAACACGUCGAACACAAUGGUGUCAGGUAAUCUCAUCAUUGGGUGUUCUGAUGUGUAUGCUUUGAUGGACCCCGGUGCUUCUCACUCUUUUAUUGCUUCUGGAGCCGUAGAGAGAGUGGGUCUGAUGAUCUCUGAGUUAGAGUGUCCUCUCUAGGUCAGUGGACCCAAAUGUGACCCAUCAGUGGUAGAGUCAGUCUGUCGCUUCAGUCCAGUGUUCAUAGAGGGUAGAUGCCUUCCAGCUGACCUUGUGGUUCUAGAUUUGACGGAUUUUGAUGUCAUUCUAGGGAUGGAUUGGCUAUCUACAUAUGGAGCUACCUUGGACUGUAGAGACAAGGUCGUUAGUCUCAGAGACCAGGAUGGGUCAGAGUGUGUCUUCAGAGGAGACAGGAGGGGUGCUCCUAGAGGUUUGAUCUCAGCCCUUCAGGCUCGUAGGUUGCUAAGCAGGGGUUGUCAGGGGUUUCUAGCUCAUGUGAGAGAGCUAGAUAGUCAGGUUAGGGAACCAGCCUCGGUACCAGUAGUCUGAGAAUUUCCAGAUGUCUUUCCAGACGAGCUUCCAGGACUACCACCUGAUAGGGAGAUGGCGUUUGAAAUAGAAUUGCUGCCUGGUACCAGACCUAUCUCUAUUCCUCCCUACAGGAUGGCACCAGCAGAGUUAAAGGAGUUGAAAGAGCAGUUGCAGGACUUGGUAGAUAAGGGUUUCAUCCGCCCUAGUACCUCACCUUGGGGUGCUCCAGUGCUUUUUGUCCGAAAGAAGGAUGGAUCCCUCAGACUUUGUAUCGACUACAGGCAGUUGAACAAGGUCACUACCAAGAAUAAGUAUCCCCAGCCUAGGAUCGAUGAUCUAUUUGACCAGCUAGCUGGAGCAGGUUGUUUCUCUAAAAUAGAUCUGAGGUCCGAGUAUCAUCAGUUGAGAGUCAGAGAGGCAGAUGUACCAAAGACAGCUUUCAGGACCAGAUAUGGGCAUUAUGAGUUCUUGGUAAUGCCGUUCGGAUUAAUUAACGCCCCUGCAGCAUUCAUGGAUCUCAUGAAUAGAGUUUUCAGCGAGUAUAUGGAUCACUUUGUUAUUGUCUUCAUUGAUGAUAUCUUAGUGUACUCCAGAGAUGCAGAGGAGCAUGCUCAGCAUCUGAGGACAGUUCUGCAGACACUAAGAGAGCAUAGUUUAUAUGCCAAGUUCUCGAAGUGUGAGUUUUGGUUGAGGAGCAUUUCCUUCUUAGGGCAUGUAGUAUCCGCAGAAGGUAUUGAGGUAGACCCCAAGAAGACAGAGGCUGUAGCUAACUGGCCCAGACCCACAUCAGUGACAGAGAUCAAAAGCUUUUUGGGUUUGGCAGGUUACUACAGGAGGUUCGUACAGGACUUCUCCAAGAUAGCUACUCCUAUGACCAAACUGACUAAGAAGAAUCAGCGGUUCGUGUGGUCGGACCAAUGUGAAGAGAGCUUUGAAGAGUUAAAGAGAAGAUUAACAUCAGCACCGGUGUUAGCUCUGCCCGUUAGUAAUAAGGACUUCACAGUGUUCUGUGAUGCGUCCAGAGUGGGCUUGGGUUGUGUUUUAAUGCAGAACGACAGGGUGAUUGCUUAUGCUUCUAGACAGUUGAAGAAGCACGAGUUGAAUUACCCCACCCAUGACCUAGAGAUGGCAGCAGUCAUCUUUGCACUCAAGAUGUGGAGGCAUUACCUUUAUGGGGUUAAAUGCGAGAUCUUUACCGAUCACAAGAGUUUACAGUACAUCUUGAGUCAGAAAGAGCUAAAUUUGAGGCAGAGAAGAUGGGUAGAACUACUCAGUGACUAUGAUUGCAGGAUUCAGUAUCAUCCGAGUAAGGCGAAUGUUGUGGCAGAUGCCCUAAGCCAGAAAUCACGAGGCAGUUUGUCCCAUAUAGCAGCAGAGAGAAGACCAGUGGUGAUGGAGUUUUACAAGCUCAUCGACGAAGGGUUACAGCUAGAGUUGUCUGGUACAGGUACGUUGAUCGCACAGAUGAGAGUGAUCCCAAUGUUUCUGGAGCAGGUGGCUCAGAAACAGCAUGAGGACCCCGAGUUAGUUCAAAUUGCCAGGACUGUUCAGUCAGACAACAGUGUAGAGUUUAGAUUUGAUAGCAAAGGGAUCCUCUGCUAUGGGAAUCGCCUAUGUAUACCCGAUGACAUCAGUUUGAAAGGAGACAUUAUGAGGGAAGCUCAUAAUGCAAGGUACAGUGUUCACCCUGGAGCCACCAAGAUGUAUCAGGCUCUGAAAAGAGUGUAUUGGCGGCCAGCCAUGAAGAAAGAAGUGGCACAGUUUGUGUCCGCCUGUGAGGUUUGCCAGAGGGUGAAAUUGAAACAUCAGAAGCCGGCUGGAAUGCUUAACCCACUGCCAAUUCCAGAGUGGAAAUGGGAGAAUAUAGCUAUGGAUUUUGUAGUGGGUUUACCGGCAGCGUCCAACAGGAUAGACUCCAUAUGGGUGAUUGUGGAAAGACUCACAAAAGCUGCUCAUUUCAUCCCUGUUCGGAGCAACUACUCUGUGGACAAGUUAGCACAGGUUUAUUUGGAGGAGAUAGUAAGGUUGCAUGGAGUCCCAGUGUCUAUAGUGUCAGACAGAGGACCUCAGUUCACCUCCAGAUUUUGGCGGAGUCUGCAGAGUGUUAUGGGCAUAAGGUUGGAUUUUAGCACUGCUUUCCAUCCACAGACUGACGGACAGUCAGAGAGGACCAUCUAGACCAUAGAGAAUAUGUUUCGAAUGUGUGUGUUAGACUUUGGCGGUUCUUGGAGGCAGCAUCUUCUGUUGGUGGAGUUUGCCUACAAUAACAGCCAUCAUGCUAGCAUAGGGAUGGCUCCUUAUGAAGCCUUGUAUGGGAGGAAAUGCAGAUCACCUGUUUGCUGGGAAGAAGUAGGAGAGGCGGCUCUUGCAGGGCCGGAGCUAGUGGAGAUCACCAGCAGAGUGGUGCCCAUUAUCAGAGAGAGGAUGAGAACUGCUCAGAGCAGACAGAAAAGCUAUGCAGAUAUCCGCAGGAAGCAGAUAGAGUUUCAGGAAGGUGAUCUGGUAUUGCUGAAGGUGUCUCCAAUGAAAGGAGUGGUUCGGUUUGGGAAAAAGGGUAAGCUAGCUCCACGAUACAUCGGACCCUUUGAGAUCUUGCAAAAGAUCGGGAAUGUGUCGUAUAAGCUGGAUUUACCUGCUUCUAUGGAGAAAAUUCACCCGGUUUUCCAUGUUUCUAUGCUUCAGAAGUUCGUGUCAAAUCCGAGUAAGGUUCUUAGUGAGCCUGAUGUAGAGAUCCUUGGAGAUCUCACCUAUGUAUAGCAACCAGUGCGGAUCCUAGACACGCAGAUCAGAAAGCUGAGGAACAAGGAAAUUCCAAUGGUGAAAGUCCUGUGGAACCACCAUAAUCUAGAAGAGUGCACCUGGGAGACACGAGAGUCUAUGCUCCAGCAAUAUCCAUAUCUGUUUUAAGGUGAGUUUUCCUCUGUUUUAUGUGUUUAUGUGUUUGAGGAACAUUCGGGGAUGAAUGUUCUUAAGGGGGGGAGAUUGUAAUACCCGGCUAGAGUCCGGCAUCAGAAGUCUAUUUUUCGGUGGCAUCCAGGAUGUCGGAACGCUCUAGAGGGUAAAAGAUAUGUUUUCUAUUGUGUUUUAGUAAGUUUGAAUGUUUUAACGUGUAAAGGAAAUGAGUUUUUUUUGAAAUAAAAGAGCCAAAGAAGAAAUGCAAGGUUCGGCCACCGAAGGUGAAAGUUCGGCCGCCAAACAUGCAUGGCUUUUGGAUUCACGUUAGGCCGCCGAAGGUGGUCUGACCAACCACCUAUAAAAGUCCCUAGGUCGGUAAAAUGGAUAAGUUUCUUCCAUUUUCAUAGACCUAGGUGAGACCAUACUUUUCCUUGGGUGAUCUUCAUGACUUGUACAAAUCUUUCAAAGUUUUGAUGAGUUUGUAUGUUGUUUUGAAGGGUUUGAGCUAAAAACCAAGAUUUUGAAGCGUGGAGACUUUGAGAGAAAAUUGCUCCAUAUCUCCACGUUAGGAUCACAUAUCCUCUAGAUCUUCAAGAGGUAAGUGUAGAUCUGUAGCUUCUUUGAUGUUUUAUGAGGUUUUAUGAAGGUUUUUAGGUAGAGAUGCAUGAUUAGGGUAAGUUGAGUUUUUGGUUGAUUUAUGGUCAAAGCUUGCAUAUGUGUUUGGUUGUGAUAUUUGUUGGGGUUUCGAGGUAGUUUUGGACCCCUUUGUGCAUAUGUUUAAGUAUUUUGUGUGUUGUAGAGUUGAGGUUUGUAUGUUUGAGAAGUUUGGAGGAAGAUUGCAUGAAGUUGAGCAGGGUUCUGCCUUACUGGGGAACCCAGUUUCGGCCGCCGAAAGAAGGUUCGGCCGCCGAACAUGCUAUGGAGGUGGUUUCGGUUGCCUAAGCUUGCCCAAGCUUGCCCCCGAAAGUUUGGACUUUCGGCUCUGAAGGGGAGUUUCGGCCGCCGAAAGUGCCGCCGAAGGUUUGAGACUUUCGGCUCUGGAGUGCCUUUCAGCCCCCGAACCUUGCCCCCGAAGUUGGGUUCGGCUGCCGAAAGUGAAGUUCGGCCGCCGAAGGUUCAUGAGUUUCGGCUCUGGAGAGGACUUUCGGCCGCCGAACCUGCCGCCGAAAGGGUCCUGUCCAGCCUUCUUUUGCAUGCUUUAUGUGAUUGUUUUAGGAUGUUUUAGGGGGUGUUUGGGGAGUUGUAUAGAGAUGGUCUUGAGGUAGUUUGGUCCCUCAUUUGAGUCCACCUGUGUAGGAAAGGACCAGAGGAACCGAAGAGAGCAGCAGUGAGCACUGCUUCAGAGUUUUCAGAGUCAGUACAGAGUCAGCCAGAGGUGAGUGGAACUAAACUUAAUCUUUUAAUAUGAGAACUUAAAUGCUUUUAGCAUGUUUCAUGCACCAUGAUUAUGCAAUAGGUUGAGUGCAUUAGACAUCACGAAUAUGUUGCAUUGCAUUCGAUGUUAUUAAUAUGGGUGAUAGUGGAUGAUCCAGUAGUCCCUGAGUAAGACCAGGACCCCAUUCUACGGCCUAGCACGGUAGAUGAGGAAGUCCAGGACCCCAUUCUACGGCCUGACACGGUAUAUAGUAAGUUAUUAUGAUGUGUACAGGAAGACCAGGACCCCAUUCUACGGCCUGGCACGAGUUUAGGAUGUCAGGACUAUUUGGGGACAUGUUCACCCGAGAUGAUGUGAAUUGUCUGUGAUGUGAUGCAUUUCAUGAGAGCAUGUUGAUAACAUGUUUUGUUGUUCUACUCACUGGGCUAUAGUAGCUCACCCCACUACCUUAACCCCAGUCUUGCAGGAUCAGAGUGCAGGGGAAGUCAGAAGAGUCUAGAAAAAGUAAAGAGUUUUGUAAUAGUAUAGUGUGAACAUGUAAUAUGUAAAGAGAUGUACUGGUAUUGUGCUAGACCUAGAUGUGUUGUAAAUCCUUUUUGUAUACAUGAUCUGUUUAUUGUAUGUAAAUAUUUUUAUGAGUAUGGAAACCAGGCUUACCAUAGUAUGAGUUUAACCUGUCUAGAGCAAGCUCUAGUAAGGGGUUCUGUAAGUACAGAGAUAGUGCAUGCACAGGUAGAGCCAUGGUUCAGAGCAGAGUUUUAUGCUUUUACAGACAAUGUAUGAUCAUGUAUGGGAUUUUAUAGGUAGACAGACAGUAUAGCAGGCUUGCUACGGGUCCCGGCGACCUUAAGUCGACAUGGAUCCUAGCGCCGGUAGUGGUCCGGUUUCCGGGUCGUUACAACCAGGAUUCCUUGUUCCUUAACUUCCUGACCUGUGUGUCCCUGAUCCUCACUGGCUGCUCAACAUAGGUGAGAUCCCCUAAGAUCUCCACCUCUGGUUCCUUAUGAACAUAACUUGGAUCUGACACGAACUGCCACAACACAGGAACAUGGAAAACCAGAUGGACUUUCUUCAUCGAAGUAGGUAAAUCUAGCUUCGUUACAUCCCCAUUCCUUUACAGGACUUCAAAGGGUUCGAUGUACCUUGGAGCCACUUUACCCUUCAACGCACAACGGAUUACCACUUUAUGACAGAAGAUGCCACAAACAAUACCCCAACCUUCGCCUGAACUCCACAAGCUUCUGUUGCGCACUCUGAUCCUUGCCCUUCUCUCUUCAUCUUUACUAAAUUGGCUUCUUCUCUAACUCUCAACAGGUAGUACCCGGAUCUUAGAUCUAUCUUGGAACACAACCAGUUCCUACUAACUGUUCCAAUAGAUCAUCAAUCCUGCAUGGGAAUACCUGCCCUUGGUAGUGACCUUGUUCAACCGCUUACAAUCGUUACAAAGUCUCAAGGAUUCAUCCUUCUUUUCCCACAACAACACUGGAACACUCCAGGGUGAAGUACUAAGUCGGAUAUAACCCUUGUCUACCACGUCUCACCACUACUCUGACUACUACCUCAACUCUACAGGUGCUAUCCUGUAGGGAAGAAUAGAAAUGGUUCUGGAUUCAGACACCACUCCUAUUCCAAACUCUAACUCUCUAACAGGUGGUAAACCUGACAGCUCGCCUGGAAAAACUUCUCAGAACUCUCUCUCAACCAACAGAUACUGAGGUUGGUUCCCUGACCUGACUACUAAACUCUCAGCAAGAGCUAGAAACCCUCUGACAACCUCUCCUGAGCAAUCAAUGAGCCUGUAGGGCUGACAUCAAACCUCUAGGCACCCCUACUCAGUCCCCCCCAAGGACUACCUCUGAUCCAUCCCAACCUCUGAUCCUGACUAUCUUGUCUCUGCAGACUCGAGUAGUACCUCGAGUAGCUAGCCAAUCCACCACUAGAAUGACAUCACACAGUCACAUCUAGAACCACUAGGUCAGCUGGAAGGCAUCUACUCACAACAAACUCUGACCUGAACCGGCAGACUGACUCUGCCACAGAUGGAUCACACUCGGGUCCACUGACCUAAAGAGAACACUCUAAUCCCAGAAGUCAUCAAACCCACCCUCACUACGGCUCACUAAACAACAAGGAAAGAGAAACACUAGGGUUCACAAAAACAUACACAUCCGAACACUCAAAAGUGAGCAUACCUGGCACCACUGCGUACGACGUGUUUGCCUCUUGCUGAGCCUGAGUGAAGAUCCGAGCCGGAGCUGACGGACCUUUUCCACGGGAACCUGAGGAAUGAGGGGCUGACCCUCUUCCUCUGCCUCGACCUCUGCCCUGAGACACUGCUGGAACUGCUGGCUGAGCCUCUCUACCUGAAGCUAACCGCUGAGACUAUGCUACACGGGGCGCAAUAGGACACUCACGUGCUAUGUGUCCUUCCUGUCCACACCUGAAACUAGCUGUUGUCCCAUAACGGCAGACUCCUUUGUGUGGCCUUCCACACCUCAAACAUCUUGAUCUGCCUAAGCCAGAGCUUGAACCAGCACCACAACCCAGACUAGCCUUCAACCUCUUCCAAAACUUGCUCUUCUUUGACCUUCUCAGGCCUCUAUUCCCUUUCCCAGUGGUUUUCCCCCACUUCACUCCUUUCGAAGUAGCUGUACUCUGAGUGGAGAGAUCAUUCCCUCCAAAACCUGAGAUCCUGGAAUCCUGAGUCUGAGCACCUUCUUGAGACUCUCCCAUGCCUUCUUCUAGCAUGAUCACAUCCAGACCUCUAUCUCUCCUUUGCACAUCUAUUUCUCCUUCCCUCCUUAGAUCCAUUCCUUCUCUGCUUGUAUCAUAAGACCUUCCAGGGUCCCUUGAUGUUCCCCAUCUACCAACUUCGCCCGACUGUGCCCUUGGCAGAGCAGGGGGAAAGGUGUCCAUACCUUCCCUCUCAGACGGAACUCCAGUCGAUUCCACAGAUCGACGAGCACCUCUCAUCCUAGCUCCUCUGAAGAACAACACACAAACAUACAAGCAUGAGCAAUCAUACGGUUCAUAUGGAAACACAUGAACCUAUAUCAAACAUAUACAUAACAUUAAUGCACAUGCAUAUCAUCAUGGUAUUUCACAUCAUCAUCAUGCAAAAUAGGACUCUACAUCCUAUCCUAGUGGACAUGAUUUUACCUAUUGUGCUUGCCCUCCUAUAACCUCUAUGAGCCCAACACACUCUAGGUCCGAUCAUAUGAACCUAGGGCUCACACCCCUUCGAUUCGACCAUAUGAACCUGGGGCUCUGAUACCAAUUUGUAACGACCCGGAAACCGGACCGCUAUCGGCGCUAGGAUCCAGAUCGGCGUAAGGCCGCCGGGACCCAUAGCAAGCCUAUCCUGAACUCUGUGUAGCUGAUAAAUCCCAUACAUGAUCAAACAUAAACAUAAAAACUGAAAAACUUUCCUUUCCCUUACCAAGCUUGACCUGCAUGCACUAUGUCUAACAUAGAACCCACUCUCAUAGGGUCAGCAUAUCACAAGUCAGCCUUGGGUCAACACAUUUCUCAUCAAGAAACAUAAAACAGGAUCCAUGUACAAGGGGAUUAUCCAUACNNNNNNNNNNNNNNNNNNNNNNNNNNNNNNNNNNNNNNNNNNNNNNNNNNNNNNNNNNNNNNNNNNNNNNNNNNNNNNNNNNNNNNNNNNNNNNNNNNNNNNNNNNNNNNNNNNNNNNNNNNNNNNNNNNNNNNNNNNNNNNNNNNNNNNNNNNNNNNNNNNNNNNNNNNNNNNNNNNNNNNNNNNNNNNNNNNNNNNNNNNNNNNNNNNNNNNNNNNNNNNNNNNNNNNNNNNNNNNNNNNNNNNNNNNNNNNNNNNNNNNNNNNNNNNNNNNNNNNNNNNNNNNNNNNNNNNNNNNNNNNNNNNNNNNNNNNNNNNNNNNNNNNNNNNNNNNNNNNNNNNNNNNNNNNNNNNNNNNNNNNNNNNNNNNNNNNNNNNNNNNNNNNNNNNNNNNNNNNNNNNNNNNNNNNNNNNNNNNNNNNNNNNNNNNNNNNNNNNNNNNNNNNNNNNNNNNNNNNNNNNNNNNNNNNNNNNNNNNNNNNNNNNNNNNNNNNNNNNNNNNNNNNNNNNNNNNNNNNNNNNNNNNNNNNNNNNNNNNNNNNNNNNNNNNNNNNNNNNNNNNNNNNNNNNNNNNNNNNNNNNNNNNNNNNNNNNNNNNNNNNNNNNNNNNNNNNNNNNNNNNNNNNNNNNNNNNNNNNNNNNNNNNNNNNNNNNNNNNNNNNNNNNNNNNNNNNNNNNNNNNNNNNNCCCUAAAACAUCCUCAAGCAUGCAUGGAAAACAAGCAAAGAAAAGCUGGACAGGGCAUCUUCGGCAGCACCUUCGGCGGCCGAACCCCCUCUCCAGAGACGAAACUCGGGCACUUUUGGCGGCACCUUCGGCGGCCGAAAGUCCCUUCCAGAUUCGAAAGUCUAAACUUUCGGGGGCAAGGUUCGGGGGCUGAAAGACCUUCCAGCGCCGAAAGUCAUCCACCUUCGGCGGCAUGUUCGGCGGCCGAACCUUCCCUCCAGAGACGAAAGUCCCAACUUUCGGGGGCAAGGUUAGGCGGCCAAAACAGCCUUCCUAAGGGGUUCGGCGGCCGAACCUUGCUUCGGCGGCCGAACCUGAGUUUCAUUCAGAACUCAGCUUCAUGCACAAACAAGCCUCCCAAACCUCCCAAACCUUCCAAACACCCAAAACAUGCAAACCACACUUCCACAACCUGCAUAUACUCAAGUAUAGGCACAAAGGGGUCCAAAACGAACUUACAACCCCAACAAACAACACAUCUAACACAUAAGCACACUUAAAAACAUUUUGAAACCUCUUUUUAACCCUUCUAGAAGGCUCUGACAUCCUCGAAUUCCAGAUUCCAAUGGAAAUUCCGCCAGAAAGUCAGAAUUCCGAUGCCGGCGUCUAGCCGGGUAUUACAAUAGCUCCCGCAUAUAAUCCGGACUUUGGUCCGCGAAAAUAAAUUCAUAAAAGGGCACAAGGCCAUCCAGGCAUAGGUCUCGCAUACAAUCUGGACAUAGGUCUCGCAUAUAACCUAGGCAUUAGUCCGCGAAAAUAAAUUCAUAAAAGGCCGCAAGGCCAUCCGGGCAUGGGUCACACAUACAAUCUGGGCAUGGGUCCCGCAUAUAAUUCGGAUAUUAGUCUGCAAAAAUAAAUUCAUAAAAGACUGCAGGGCCAUUUGGGAAUGGGUCCCACAUACAAUUCGGGUAUGGAUCACGCAUAUAAUACCAGCAUUGGUCUGUAGAAACAAAUAUUCACAAGGCCAUAAGGCUAUCUGAACAUGGGUCCUGCAUAAUUAAGGCAUUUCAUGCCAGGCCGCAAGGCGAGUAUACGUCAGGCUGACCAACCGAGUGUUAGUCCCAUUUUACGAGAAGUUUCUAAAGGCACUUGAUGUCAGCUCAAAAGGCGGGUAUACGCCAGGCUGACUAACCGGGUGUUAGUUCCAUUUCAUAAAAAGUUUAUAAGGCAUUUAACACCAGGUUGACCUACCGGGUGCUAUUCCCACUUCACAAGAAGUUUCUAAAGGCAUUUGAUGCUCAGGGCACAAGGCAGGUAUGAGCUAGACCAUGCAACCAAGAGCAUUGGUCCCAUCUUACAAAAAGAAUCACAGGCAUGAGUCGCUACUCUUACAAUUACUCUCAAAAAUCUAAAACUUUUUGCUAGGAGAAAAAUGUCCGGAAGUUCGUCAGAGUUAGAAAAUGCCCAGAAGCUCGACAAAGCUGGAAAAGGCCAAGGAGCUCGUGAGGGCUAGAAAAAUGCCCAGAAGCCCAUCAAGACUAGAAAAGGUCAAAAAGCUUGCAAGGAUUAGAAAAAUAGCCGGAAGCUCGUUAGGGCUAGAAAAAUGCCCAAAGGCUCAUCAGGAUUGGAAAGUGCCCGAAAGCUAGAAAAGGCUGUAAAAGUCCAAAGAGCUCGCAAGGACUGAAAAAUGUUUGAAAACUCGUCAAGGCAUUACUAUAUCACUUAGAUUAAUUUUUGCCAAGAGAAGAUCUUGGAUCUGACUGAUUGACAGGACAAGUAAAAAGAAAGUAAAGACAUCGUGCGUUCAGCCCGGACAAAUAAAGCCACAUGACCCAGACCAUGAAAACAUCUAUCACCUUCAAAUCUAAAGAAUCAAAGACUAGUGGGGGGAUUUCUGAUGCUAUAUGAGACUUGUUCAAAGUAGGCAGUGAGCUGUCAUCAUAAAACAAGGCCAUAUGACAAGGAUCUGAUAAACCUAUAUGCAGUUCCACCCAUAGAAAAGAAGAUCAGGGCACUUCAGGUCAGUUUCAAGACAGGUCGGACAGACUCCCCUCUCAACUUCAGGAUGAGUCUCCAUAAGGAAGUUACUGUUAAACAACUACAAUCCAACAGAUCCCUUUUACACCUAUGAUCACAGAAUUCCUGACCAAUUAGCCGGUGAAGAUCUCUUACCAAUAAGUUAGUUACAUCAUCGCCGGAUAAUCAAAAAAUACUAUAUUUAUCUCUAUCUUUUUACAGUAUAAAAGGAGAAUAAUCACAGAGGUAAAAGUAUGCUAUUCUUUAACAUAAAUACUCUCAAGUUUUAUAUUUGCCUUAUUCUCCAUAUUACUAAUUUGAGUGUUGGAUUGGCUGUCAUGGACAUCCACUAUCUCACCCUCUCUGUUUUGCAAAAUUAGUCAAUCACAAUACAAUUUUAUUAUGUUCACAUCAUCAUUUUAGUUUCAACAAUAUCAAUUUAAUUUGCUAUAAAAAAAAACUAAAUAAAUUUACGGACAUGAAUGAUUAUAUUAUAUUUGAUUAUUUAAUAUUUUCAUAUGUUUUAUAUAAAAAUAUUACAUAAGAAUGUUUGGUAUUAUUUUGAAAUUUGAAAUAAGUAAUAUUAGUACUAUUUUAAAACCAUUUAAUUAUCGAUGGAUUUUAAAUUUUAUUACAUAAAUUGAUAAAUAUAUUAAAAUUAAAUUUAUAUUAAAAUUAAAUCAGAAUAAAAAACAAAUAGAAUUAUAUUAAUACUAUUUCAAAUUUUAAUUUCAAAAAAUCUCAAGAAAUCAAAAACUAUUUCGAAUUUCAAUUUCAAAAAAUCUCAAGAAACCAAUUUUUGAUUUCGCUCCAUCUGCCACGACAAAACAAAAUUUACACUAUACUCACUAGAGCAAGGAUUGAGGUCGCCGGCUACAUUAGGUUGUCUCCGCCGUAGAGGAACCCACACCGAACAAAAACUUCCGAAGCCUCAACAAACAAAGAAAAAUAACGUUGAUGACAGACUGUAAACCGCCAUCUCUCUCUCUUUCCUUUUGUGUUUUUCUCUGAAGUCUUGAAUUUUCUAACACAACAAAAUGUUCCGUUAAAAGUAAAUCCAUUUUUUAAGAUAUCGUAAUACAUAUAUUUUUUAAUAUACAUUCUUUGCGUAACAUUUCCAUUACUCCAAUUAUUCUCCCUCCAAGUUUAAAGAAAAACACUGAACCGAAUAAAAGUACUCGCUUUUAAAAUCUCACCGAAUGCUCAUCAUCACUUUCACUCCGCUUCAUAAUCGCAAACCCUAAUUUCCUAAAUUCUCAAUUCUUAUUUUUAUUCAACAAUGGCGCCAAUUGAUCCUCACUCCUUCACUGAUUCCGCUCAUCCACUCACCACCCAUGUUUUCCUUUCUCUUUACUUCGAUUUUUCUUCCUCCACCAUCCACGCCGCCGCUUUACUCUCCCUAGCCGCCCCUCACACCGGAAUUCUCUCCCUCGACACCCGCUUUCUCAGCAUCUACAAGGUCCUUGACCCUCAAACCCUAAGUCCUCUUCCUUUCUCUCUUUCCCCGAUUGACCCAAUCAAAGGUAGUCACCUCACUGUCUCUCUCCAAAACCAUUCUUCAGUUUUAAUCUUCUACUCCACCUCUCCUUCUUCCUCCGCCCUCCAGUGGCUGUCUCCUCCACAAACAUUUGGAAAGAUUCAUCCUUUUGUUUUUACCCAAUGCCAAUCCAUCCACGCUCGCUCCGUUUUCCCCUGCCAGGACACUCCAGCCGCGCGAAUUUGUUACUCCGCUAAGCUCAACAUUCCCCGCCACCUUUCUGCCGUGAUGUCGGCCAGACAUUCUGAUCGCCGAGCACCUGUUAGUGGGGAUGUUAAUGAUUUGGUCACUGGAGAUGUUGGGUUUGACUUCCGGUCGUUGUGGUGUGCCGAAGGGAGGGUAGUGGAGGAGUUUGUCAU